rnacentral:rRNA from 1 species
AGCAGCCGCGGUAAUUCCAGCUCCAAUAGCGUAUAUUAAAGUUGUUGCAGUUAAAAAGCUCGUAGUUGAAUUUCGGGAUUAGUACGUUGGUCGUGCCUUAGGUACGUACUGGUGUUACUGGUUCCUACCUUCUGACGAACCAUCAUGUCAUUAAUUUGGUGUGGCGGGGAAUCAGGACUGUUACUUUGAAAAAAUUAGAGUGUUUAAAGCAGGCUCGCGCUUGAAUACAUUAGCAUGGAAUAAUGAAAUAGGACGUUGACCCUAUUUUGUUGGUUUCUAGGAUUGACGUAAUGAUUAAUAGGGAUAGUUGGGGGCAUUAGUAUUCAAUUGUCAGAGGUGAAAUUCUUGGAUUUAUUGAAGACUGACUACUGCGAAAGCAUUUGCCAAGGAUGUUUUCAUUAAUCAAGAACGAAAGUUAGGGGAUCGAAGACGAUCAGAUACCGUCGUAGUCUUAACCAUAAACUAUGCCGACUAGGGAUCGGAUGAUGUUAUUUUUAAUGACUCAUUCGGCGCCUUACG